GUAUAGAGAUCAUCACAAACACAAGCAUCAAAACCAAGAAACACUAGUUAACACCAAUCCACUAUGAAGACCUUCCUCAUCUUUGCACUCCUCGUCAUUGCGGCAACAAGUACGUUUGCACAGCAACAACCAUUUCCACAACAACCCUUCCCACAACAGCCACAACCAUACCCACAACAACCACAACCAUAUCCACAACAACCAUUCCAACCGCAACAACCAUUUCCACAACAAACCAUCCCACAACAACCACAACCAUACCCACAACAACCACAACCAUAUCCACAACAACCCUUCCCACCGCAACAAGAAUUUCCACAACAACCAUCAUUUUGGCCACAACAACCAUUUCCACAGCAACCACCAUUUGGGCUACAACAACCAAUUCUAUCGCAGCAACAACCAUGUACACCACAACAAACACCACUCCCACAAGGACAACUGUAUCAAACGCUUCUGCAACUACAAAUACCCUAUGUUCAUCCAUCUAUUUUGCAACAGCUAAACCCAUGCAAGGUAUUCCUCCAGCAGCAGUGCAGCCCCGUGCGAAUGCCACAACUUAUUCCUAGGUUGCAAAUGUUGCAGCAGAGCAGUUGCCAUGUGUUGCAGCAACAAUGUUGCCAGCAACUGCCGCAAAUCUCCGAACAAUUCCGCCAUGAGGCAAUCCGUGCAAUCGUCUACUCUAUCUUUCUGCAAGAACAACCCCAACAGUCGGUCCAAGGUGUAUCCCAAACCCAACAACAGUUGCAGCAGGAGCAAGUUGGACAAUGUUCUUUCCAACAACCUCAACCACAACAACUUGGUCAACCACAGCAGGUACCACAAAGUGUUUUCUUGCAGCCACACCAGAUAGCUCAGCUUGAGGCGACGACUUCCAUUGCGCUGCGUACCCUACCAAGGAUGUGCAAUGUUAAUGUGCCAUUGUACGACAUCAUGCCACCCGACUUUUGGCACUAGAGUUGAUGUCUAAUGAUAAGAAAAGGUCUCUAGAAAUAUAUAGUUGGAUCACCGUUGUUUAGUCGAUGUAUAUGUCGAUGUAGCGGUGACAAAUAAAGUGUCACACAAUCUUAUGUGUGAACGGCCCAAACUAGUUGUUUAAAUUCUGAAAUAAAAUAUAAAUAAAGUUCAUGACGACUACCUGAAAA